CUUAACGUGAAACACCUCUUUUAGGUGAAACAAAACUAUGGAUUCCAGAAGUAUGUGGAAUAAUAGGCCACAAGUAAGUACAGACAAUAGACAGAGAAUGGUCAAAUCAAAAGUCAGGUCAAACAAAGGAAACACAAAAUGAAUGUAAGUCAUAGUACUGAGAACACUCCUAGGAGUUCUGAACCACAAAUGUGUAAUGAGGUGAGAGGUUUUUUGUUUUUUUUUAACUCCCUUCCCCUGGCAUCCCUGAUGCCUAUAAAAUCUGCAGCAUUACCAGGUGCAGAAUGACGUACAAAUGGAGCAGGUUCAGAGUCAAAAAAAGUGUCCGGUGUCAGAAUGUCUGCCACAUCGAAAACAUGAUGCCAGUUGGCCAACGUUCCAGACACUUCUUAAUCUUUUCCUAAUACUGCACGUAUCUACCUAACCUCACUAAAAAAAUAAGUAUGUCCCAUCCAGACCCCUAUGCUCUGCUAAACAUCUUUAUCUGUCGCCUGUUUACACUCACAUCACUGCCUCUCACCAGCAGGACUUCUGUAGGGCUGCAUCUUUCAUAUGAAACUACCAUUCCUGACUCUUCC